AAGCACAUUUUUGUUUUGACCCACGCCUUUAUCCUUAAUGAGGGCAAUGGUAUACCUAAUGUGCUAGAGUAAACCUGAAGGUCAAUUAGCAGUGUGGCUAUCUCUGUAUCCAUUGCUGCCAGUCCCCUUCAGAUAAAU
rnacentral:snoRNA from 1 species